rnacentral:rRNA from 1 species
AAACGUAGGAGGCGAGCGUUAUCCGGAUUCACUGGGCGUAAAGGGCAAGUAGGCGGCAGCACAAGUUGGGCGUGACAAAUCUCGGCUUAACUGAGAAGGGUCGUCCAAAACUAGGCUGCUAGAGGGCAGAAGAGGAAGGCGGAACUCCUAAUGUAGCAGUGGAAUGCUUAGAUAUUAGGAGGAACACCGGUGGCGAAGGCGGCCUUCUGGUCUGCAUCUGACGCUGAGAGGCGAAAGCUAGGGUAGCAAACGGGCUUAGAUACCCCGGUAGUCCUAGCUGUAAACGGUGGAUACUAGGUAUUGGGGGUUAUACUCCCGCAGUGCCGAAGCCAACGCGUUAAGUAUCCCGCCUGGGGACUACGACCGCAAGGUUAAA